AGGUCUACAGGACCCUCUUGUUUGUGCAAGUGCUUUGCCAUUAAGACUUCUUAUCCCCCCAAAUGGUUAUUUGUACUGAGCUGUUUUAUUGAGGCACUGGGUAACACCACUUUUCUAAGCCUGCUUUCCUUACCAAAAGUAAAGCUGUCUGCCCUGCUCUCAAGGCUUGGCUUGAUUAUUUGGAAGAAACUAAGAGUCCAAAUCUAGAAGAGUAUUCUUGGAGGAAAUUUUAAAACUAAGAUAAAUUGGGUUGUUCGAUCAAGAUCAAGAAGGUUGGUCCUUAAGGAGAAUGCAGAGUAAGAGGCAGCGGGCAAAGGGAGCACUUGGAAAGGUUCCACGGGAGGCAGAGCAGACAGCAUCCAUGCUGCUGACCAUGCUUUUGACUCGGUGCUUUAGCUGCCAAGGAGAAGGAGAGGCCUCGUUAGACCAAACCUAAAAAAGAUUCCCACUGUGUUCCAUCCAGUAUGGCUGAUGGUAGUUCUGACCACCCGAAUACAGUACUUGCCACCAUUCUCCACUGUGAGAUUAUUUCUUCCCAAGAGCCUCGUUCAUGUAGCGGGUUUAUAAACCAGCACACGGAUGGGGUAUCUUAGGAAGUACGAUGUAUGUACUAGAAAACUAUUUCUCAACCUUCCUAGUUCUGUGACCCCUUCAUAUAGUUCCUCACGGUGUAGUGAUUCCCAACCAUAACAUUUCACUGUUGCUUUGUAACUGUAAUGUUGGUACUGUUAUGAAUCAUAAACAUCUGACAAGCAGAUGGUCAUAGGUCACCCCUGUGAGGAUCAUUUUGACCCCAAAGGGGUCAUGACCCAGGGGUUGAGAAAUACGGUAGUAGAAGCACUACAAAUGGAACUGCCCAUUUGGCAGUAAGUGCCACCUAGUAAAGGUGUGCACCUGUAGACUUGAGUGUUGUGUGCAUGUGUGUGGUUUUUAGUGACCUUUCUAUAAUCUGGUACUAGCUUGUUCCCAUAUUACAGGAUUUAUUUUUAUUUUAGCUUCCUGUCAGUAAUUCUAAAACUCAUGUCCAACAGCAAAAAAGCUGGUUCCUAUUAUCCUCAUUAAUUGACUUUUUUGGAUCAUCACUUCUACUAGAACCAAAUUCUUACCACUGUCACCACCUCGUACCUUCCCUCCCAGAUCCCACUCUUGCCUGGAAUGCUCACCCUGUCCUAACUCCAACAACCUGUGCCACUACCCUCUCCACCCAAUCAGUGUCCUCUUCUGCUAGGCUGCUGUCACAAACCACUUUUACCUGAGACCUGUUUCCUUUGUCUUGAAUUCUUAAGGUCUCCCAGCCCUUCAUCCUGUCCCUUAAGGCUGCUGCUUUUGCUUAGAGCCAGACAACUAAUAUCUUUUGGACUGUAUUAUUCAGGAAAAAUAAAAUUUCAAAGUAGAUUAUUUUUAAAGAUGAAUUAAAGGUUACUUUACAAUUAACUAGCAGAAAAUGGAGAUUCUCAAAAUUCGUCCAAAAAUUAUUGUGUUGAGCUGGAUGGAAGCUGAGGCAGGGGAAGACCCUUAGUUCAAGGAGAGCUAUGAUUGAAGUUACAUAGUGGCACCCUGUCACUAAUACUGACAAUUGUGACUGGUGUUGCGUUUAGUGUCCAAGUGUACAGAUCCUAGUUGAUUCUGCUUGCUUCCUCUUGGGAAGAGUAGUGAGUGUCCACUGAGGUUUGCUAGGGUUGACUCAUAGUCACUCAUGGGCUCCAGCUUCCAGAGUCUUACUGCCAUAACCAUCUCUCUCUUUUCUCUUUUAAUUUCAUGGUUUGUUUUCUUUCCCUGAAGAUUUAGUGUAAUACUGAAAGGUAAUUUAACAGGUGUGUUUAACUAAUAAUAUUAACAGUGGGAGUAGGGAGAGAGGGGAGGAGUAAUAUAAUACCAGGAUGGUAUACCUUGUUGAAGAAUGACUUAAAACUAUGUGGCUUGAAAUUAUUAUAUAGAUAAAACUUGGCAUUUGUAACUUGUGAAAGCUUUUAGAGACCUGCCUUAGUUCUCCUUCCCAAUUGCUUUUCCCACAGAGUAUGAGUAAUAAAAGAUUCGCCUACCCCUGCCCCAUGCACUUUGAUGGUAAUUUAUGAUACAGUUGAUUUUCAGGAAUUUUUAGUUUAUUUUUGCUGCUGGGAAAAACCUUUAGUUUGCAAACUAGAAAACAACUUAAUUGCUGCAGAGACCUGCAUGGAGUCCUGGAAGUUAUCAAAGUUGGAUGAGUGCAUGGCUCAAAGUCACGGGCUAUUCCAGGAACAUGGAUAUGUGCAAGGAGGAGCUGUAAGUCCUUUCUCCCUGGGGACUUUGAGUAAAGGAAUGAUGGCGUUGUCAUUUUAGUAGGACACUAUUAUUUCUAAUAGGGGCUUGAUGCCCAAUGAUGUUAUUCUGCCCCAUGAUGUUCAAGUGACC
rnacentral:lncRNA from 1 species